CCUACGGGAGGCAGCAGUGAGGAAUAUUGGUCAAUGGGCGAGAGCCUGAACCAGCCAAGUCGCGUGAAGGAUGACGGCCCUACGGGUUGUAAACUUCUUUUGUCAGGGAGCAAUUGAGUCCACGUGUGGUCUUAGCGAGAGUACCUGAAGAAAAAGCAUCGGCUAACUCCGUGCCAGCAGCCGCGGUAAUACGGAAGGUCCGGGCGUUAUCCGGAUUUAUUGGGUUUAAAGGGAGCGUAGGCCGGUCUUUAAGCGUGCCGUGAAAUUUUGUGGCUCAACCAUGAGAGUGCGGCGCGAACUGGAGACCUUGAGUGCGCGGAAGGCAGGCGGAAUUCGUGGUGUAGCGGUGAAAUGCUUAGAUAUCACGAAGAACCCCGAUUGCGAAGGCAGCUUACUAAACUGUGACUGACAUUGAUGCUCGAAAGUGUGGGUAUCAAACAGGAUUAGAUACCCUAGUAGUC
rnacentral:rRNA from 1 species